rnacentral:rRNA from 1 species
UGGGGAAUAUUGCACAAUGGGGGAAACCCUGAUGCAGCAACGCCGCGUGAGUGAUGACGGUCUUCGGAUUGUAAAGCUCUGUCUUUAGGGACGAUAAUGACGGUACCUAAGGAGGAAGCCACGGCUAACUACGUGCCAGCAGCCGCGGUAAUACGUAGGUGGCAAGCGUUGUCCGGAUUUACUGGGCGUAAAGGGAGCGUAGGCGGAUUUUUAAGUGGGAUGUGAAAUACCCGGGCUUAACCUGGGUGCUGCAUUCCAAACUGGAAGUCUAGAGUGCAGGAGGGGAAAGCGGAAUUCCUAGUGUAGCGGUGAAAUGCGUAGAGAUUAGGAAGAACACCAGUGGCGAAGGCGGCUUUCUGGACUGUAACUGACGCUGAGGCUCGAAAGCGUGGGGAGCGAACAGGAUUAGAUACCCUGGUAGU